rnacentral:rRNA from 1 species
CUUGCUUUCUUUGCCGGCGACCGGCGCACGGGUGAGUAACACGUAUCCAACCUGCCCUUUACUCGGGGAUAGCCUUUCGAAAGAAAGAUUAAUACCCGAUAGUAUAAUGAUUCCGCAUGGUUUCAUUAUUAAAGGAUUCCGGUAAAGGAUGGGGAUGCGUUCCAUUAGGUUGUUGGUGAGGUAACGGCUCACCAAGCCUUCGAUGGAUAGGGGUUCUGAGAGGAAGGUCCCCCACAUUGGAACUGAGACACGGUCCAA